UGCAGUCGAGCGGACAGAAGGGAGCUUGCUCCCGGAUGUUAGCGGCGGACGGGUGAGUAACACGUGGGUAACCUGCCUGUAAGACUGGGAUAACUCCGGGAAACCGGAGCUAAUACCGGAUAGUUCCUUGAACCGCAUGGUUCAAGGAUGAAAGACGGUUUCGGCUGUCACUUACAGAUGGACCCGCGGCGCAUUAGCUAGUUGGUGGGGUAAUGGCUCACCAAGGCGACGAUGCGUAGCCGACCUGAGAGGGUGAUCGGCCACACUGGGACUGAGACACGGCCCAGACUCCUACGGGAGGCAGCAGUAGGGAAUCUUCCGCAAUGGACGAAAGUCUGACGGAGCAACGCCGCGUGAGUGAUGAAGGUUUUCGGAUCGUAAAGCUCUGUUGUUAGGGAAGAACAAGUGCGAGAGUAACUGCUCGCACCUUGACGGUACCUAACCAGAAAGCCACGGCUAACUACGUGCCAGCAGCCGCGGUAAUACGUAGGUGGCAAGCGUUGUCCGGAAUUAUUGGGCGUAAAGGGCUCGCAGGCGGUUUCUUAAGUCUGAUGUGAAAGCCCCCGGCUCAACCGGGGAGGGUCAUUGGAAACUGGGAAACUUGAGUGCAGAAGAGGAGAGUGGAAUUCCACGUGUAGCGGUGAAAUGCGUAGAGAUGUGGAGGAACACCAGUGGCGAAGGCGACUCUCUGGUCUGUAACUGACGCUGAGGAGCGAAAGCGUGGGGAGCGAACAGGAUUAGAUACCCUGGUAGUCCACGCCGUAAACGAUGAGUGCUAAGUG
rnacentral:rRNA from 1 species